rnacentral:tRNA from 1 species
AAUGAAAUGCCUGAAAAAAAGGGUUAUUUUGAUAGAAUAAAUCAUACACUUAUAGUGUUUUCAUUA